AUGUCGACUUGGAGGUUGUGCCCUUGAGGCGUGGCUUCCGGAGCUAACGCGUUAAGUCGACCGCCUGGGGAGUACGGCCGCAAGGUUAAAACUCAAAUGAAUUGACGGGGGCCCGCACAAGCGGUGGAGCAUGUGGUUUAAUUCGAUGCAACGCGAAGAACCUUACCUGGUCUUGACAUCCACGGAAGUUUUCAGAGAUGAGAAUGUGCCUUCGGGAACCGUGAGACAGGUGCUGCAUGGCUGUCGUCAGCUCGUGUUGUGAAAUGUUGGGUUAAGUCCCGCAACGAGCGCAACCCUUAUCCUUUGUUGCCAGCGGUCCGGCCGGGAACUCAAAGGAGACUGCCAGUGAUAAACUGGAGGAAGGUGGGGAUGACGUCAAGUCAUCAUGGCCCUUACGACCAGGGCUACACACGUGCUACAAUGGCGCAUACAAAGAGAAGCGACCUCGCGAGAGCAAGCGGACCUCAUAAAGUGCGUCGUAGUCCGGAUUGGAGUCUGCAACUCGACUCCAUGAAGUCGGAAUCGCUAGUAAUCGUGGAUCAGAAUGCCACGGUGAAUACGUUCCCGGGCCUUGUACACACCGCCCGUCACACCAUGGGAGUGGGUUGCAAAAGAAGUAGGUAGCUUAACCUUCGGGAGGGCGCUUACCACUUUGUGAUUCAUGACUGGGGUGAAGUCGUAACAAGGUAACCGUAGGGGAACCUGCGGUUGGAUCACCUCCUU
rnacentral:rRNA from 1 species